GCAGAUAAUUGAGCAACUUUGUCCCAGUCAACUUUCCAACCAUCAAGAUCGUCUUGAUCAUCGGUGUCAUUUUGAAUAUUGGCAAGAGCUCUUGUUCCCCAAACAGUCUUUGCAGUAGAUAAGGUAGACUCAUCUGUAUUAACCUCAUCGGUAGAUUCAAAUUGAUGAUGACUUCCCAAUGUGGGGAAUGCUUCAGCAGGGUCCUCAUGCACUACGGUUUUUGGCACAGGUCUCUGCAUAUUUAACUCGGAGUAUAUCUGUUCCUCUGUAUCACGUUCAGCCCGUUGUCGAUACCUUUCUUCUCUCAUUUCUUGAGCUUUACGUUGCU